GAUGAACGCUGGCGGCGUGCCUAAUACAUGCAAGUCGAGCGAACAGACGAGGAGCUUGCUCCUCUGACGUUAGCGGCGGACGGGUGAGUAACACGUGGAUAACCUACCUAUAAGACUGGGAUAACUUCGGGAAACCGGAGCUAAUACCGGAUAAUAUAUUGAACCGCAUGGUUCAAUAGUGAAAGACGGUUUUGCUGUCACUUAUAGAUGGAUCCGCGCCGCAUUAGCUAGUUGGUAAGGUAACGGCUUACCAAGGCAACGAUGCGUAGCCGACCUGAGAGGGUGAUCGGCCACACUGGAACUGAGACACGGUCCAGACUCCUACGGGAGGCAGCAGUAGGGAAUCUUCCGUAAUGGGCGAAAGCUUGACGGAGCAACGCCGCGUGAGUGAUGAAGGUCUUCGGAUCGUAAAACUCUGUUAUUAGGGAAGAACAAAUGUGUAAGUAACUAUGCACGUCUUGACGGUACCUAAUCAGAAAGCCACGGCUAACUACGUG
rnacentral:rRNA from 1 species